rnacentral:rRNA from 1 species
AGUGAACGCUGGCGGUAGGCCUAACACAUGCAAGUCGAACGGCAGCACAGUAAGAGCUUGCUCUUACGGGUGGCGAGUGGCGGACGGGUGAGGAAUACAUCGGAAUCUACUUUUUCGUGGGGGAUAACGUAGGGAAACUUACGCUAAUACCGCAUACGACCUACGGGUGAAAGCAGGGGAUCUUCUGACCUUGCGCGAUUGAAUGAGCCGAUGUCGGAUUAGCUAGUUGGCGGGGUAAAGGCCCACCAAGGCGACGAUCCGUAGCUGGUGUGAGAGGAUGAUCAGCCACACUGGAACUGAGACACGGUCCAGACUACUACGGGAGGCAGCAGUGGGGAAUAUUGGACAAUGGGGGCAAGCCUGAUCCAGCCAUACCGAGUGGGUGAAGAAGGCGUUCGGGUUGUAAAGCCCUUUUGUUGGGAAAGAAAAGCAGCAGGUUAAUACCCCGCUGUUCUGACGGUACCCAAAGAAUAAGCACCGGCUAACUUCGUG